CGUGACCGGCAGCAAAAAGAGAGAGAGGAAAAGGAGCAAAGAAGAUUAAUGAAAGAAAGGGAGGAGAGAGAAAAGGCUAGACAGGCCGUAGAAAGAGCCACACGAGAAGCUCGUGAACGAGCAGCUGCUGAAGCACGCCAGAGAGCUGAGAGGGCUGCUGUUGGGAAAGCUAAUGCUGAAGCCCGAGAGCGUGCUGAAAGAGCUGCAGUACAAAGGGCACAUGCUGAAGCCCGAGAAAGGGCAGCUGCAGAAGCAAAGGAAAGAGCUGAAAAGGCUGCUGCAGCGGCAAAGGAGAGGGAAGCACGGGAAAGAGCUACAGCUGCG
rnacentral:lncRNA from 1 species